CCCUCGGUCGUCUAGUUGGUUUAUGGCGUCCGGCUGUAAUUGUUAAGCACACCGGAAUGUCGCGCGUUCGACUCGCGCCUGAGGGA
rnacentral:tRNA from 2 species